rnacentral:lncRNA from 1 species
UUCGGCUGCAUGGAUUCGGAGCCUUUGCUGCCGCUCUUCUUUUCCUUCCUGUGCUUCUUGUCCGUCGACGGAGACUCGAAGCUGCCGUCGGCCUCGAGCUGGACCUUCGCCUUCAUCUUCUUCUCUUUGCUCUUGCUUUUGGAUUUCUACGGGGAUUGAGCUGAAUCGGACACAACUAUCGAAGGCAUCGAUGAAGCUGUCG